CCUACGGGAGGCAGCAGUGGGGAAUAUUGCACAAUGGGGGAAACCCUGAUGCAGCGACGCCGCGUGAGUGAAGAAGUAUUUCGGUAUGUAAAGCUCUAUCAGCAGGAACGAGACAAGACGGUACCUGACUAAGAAGCCCCGGCUAACUACGUGCCAGCAGCCGCGGUAAUACGUAGGGGGCAAGCGUUAUCCGGAAUCACUGGGUGUAAAGGGAGCGUAGACGGCUGAGCAAGCCUGAAGUGAAAGGCCGGGGCCCAACCCCCGGACUGCUUUGGGAACUGUACGGCUGGAGUGCAGGAGAGGUAAGUGGAAUUCCUAGUGUAGCGGGGAAAUGCGUAGAUAUUAGGAGGAACACCAGUGGCGAAGGCGGCUUACUGGACUGUAACUGACGUUGAGGCUCGAAAGCGUGGGGAGCAAACAGGAUUAGAUACCCGAGUAGUC
rnacentral:rRNA from 1 species